rnacentral:rRNA from 1 species
GAUGAACGCUGGCGGCGUGCUUAACACAUGCAAGUCGAACGGAAAGGCCCUGCUUUUGUGGGGUGCUCGAUUGGCGAACGGGGGAGUAACACGUGAGUAACCUGCCCUUGACUUUGGGAGAACUUCAGGAAACUGGGGCUAAUACCGGAUAUGAUCUCCUGCUGCAUGGUGGGGGUUGGAAAGUGUCGGCUGUUGGGGAUGGACUCGAGGCUUAUCAGCUUGUUGGGGGGGUAGGUGCGUACCAAGGCUUUGACGGGUCGCCCGCCUGAGAGGGUGACCGGCCACAUUGGGACUGAGAUACGGAGCAGAAUGCUACGGGAGGCAGCAGUGGGGAAUAUUGCACAAUGGGCGGGAGCGUGAUGCAGCAACGCCGCGUGCGGGAUGACGGCCUUCGGGUUGUAAACAGCUUUCGAAUGUGACGAAGCGGGAGUGACGGUAAUGAGUCAAGAAGCACCGGCUAACUACGUG